GACGAACGCUGGCGGCGUGCUUAACACAUGCAAGUCGAACGGAAAGGCCCUGCUUUUGUGGGGUGCUCGAGUGGCGAACGGGUGAGUAACACGUGAGUAACCUGCCCUUGACUUUGGGAUAACUUCAGGAAACUGGGGCUAAUACCGGAUAGGAGCUCUUGCUGCAUGGUGGGGGUUGGAAAGUUUCGGCGGUUGGGGAUGGACUCGCGGCUUAUCAGCUUGUUGGUGGGGUAGUGGCUUACCAAGGCUUUGACGGGUAGCCGGCCUGAGAGGGUGACCGGCCACAUUGGGACUGAGGUACGGCCCAGACUCCUACGGGAGGCAGCAGUGGGGAAUAUUGCACAAUGGGCGGAAGCCUGUUGCAGCAACGCCGCGUGCGGGAUGACGGCCUUCGGGUUGUAAACCGCUUUCGCCUGUGACGAAGCGUGAGUGACGGUAAUGGGUAAAGAAGCACCGGCUAACUACGUG
rnacentral:rRNA from 1 species